rnacentral:rRNA from 1 species
UGGGGAAUUUUGGACAAUGGGCGAAAGCCUGAUCCAGCAAUGCCGCGUGUGUGAAGAAGGCCUUCGGGUUGUAAAGCACUUUUGUCCGGAAAGAAAUCCUCUGGGUUAAUACCUCGGGGGGAUGACGGUACCGGAAGAAUAAGCACCGGCUAACUCCGUGCCAGCAGCCGCGGUAAUACGUAGGGUGCAAGCGUUAAUCGGAAUUACUGGGCGUCAAGCGUGCGCAGGCGGUUUUGUAAGACGGAUGUGAAAUCCCCGGGCUUAACCUGGGAACUACAUUCGUUACUGCAAGGCUAGAGUAUGGCAGAGGGGGGUAGAAGUCCACGUGUAGCAGUGAAAUGCGUAGAGAUGUGGAGGAAUACCGAUGGCGAAGGCAGCCCCCUGGGCCAAUACUGACGCUCAUGCACGAAAGCGUGGGGAGCAAACA